rnacentral:rRNA from 1 species
ACGGGUGAGUAACGCGUGGGUAAUCUACCUGUUUCUGGGGGAUAACGCACCGAAAGGUGCGCUAAUACCGCAUAUUCCGCCGGGUCCUUGGAUCUGGCGGUAAAGGUGGCCUCUACAUGUAAGCUACCGGGAGCAGAUGAGCCCGCGUCCCAUUAGCUUGUUGGUGAGGUAAAAGCUCACCAAGGCGACGAUGGGUAGCUGGUCUGAGAGGACGAUCAGCCACACUGGAACUGGAACACGGUCCAGACUCCUACGGGAGGCAGCAGUGAGGAAUAUUGCGCAAUGGGGGAAACCCUGACGCAGCGAUGCCGCGUGAGUGAAGAAGGCCUUCGGGUCGUAAAGCUCUGUCAAGCGGGAAGAAUAGCGGCGGGACGAAUAAUCCCGUCGUGUGACGGUACCGCUGAAGGAAGCACCGGCUAACUCCGUGCCAGCAGCCGCGGUAAGACGGAGGGUGCGAGCGUUAUUCGGAAUUAUUGGGCGUAAAGGGUGUGUAGGCGGCCGGUCAAGUCAGAGGUGAAAGCCCAGGGCUUAACCCUGGAAGUGCCUUUGAUACUGUUCGGCUUGAGUUCGGGAGAGGAAAGC